rnacentral:ncRNA from 1 species
AGUUAAGUUAGAAAGGGCGCACGGUGGAUGCCUUGGCACUAGGAGCCGAUGAAGGACGGGAUUAACACCGAUAUGCUUUGGGGAGCUGUAAGUAAGCUUUGAUCCAGAGAUUUCCGAAUGGGGAAACCCUCUAUCCGUAAUGGGAUAGAAUCUUUACCUGAAUACAUAGGGUACUGAAGGCAGACCCGGGGAACUGAAACAUCUAAGUACCCGGAGGAAGAGAAAGCAAACGCGAUUCCCUGAGUAGCGGCGAGCGAAACGGGAUUAGCCCAAACCAAGAGGCUUGCCUCUUGGGGUUGUAGGACACUCUAUAUGGAGUUACAAAGGAACGGGGUAGACGAAUCGAUCUGGAAAGGUCAGUCGUAGAAGGUAAAAACCCUGUAGUCGAAACUUCGUUCCCUCUUGAGUGUAUCCUGAGUACGGCGGGACACGAGAAAU